GGGUAGGCGAGUGGCUUGCCCAAGGUACAGAGCAAUGGGCGGAGUCAGGUCCUGACCCCAAGUCAGUCCUAAGGCCCGAGCCCGGAUUUUUCCGCUCCUGAGCCUUGGCCCAUUGGUGGAAGGACCAGGAAGGGGGAGGACUUUGAGCCAGGAGGAGGGUUUCCCUGAGUACAAGGGUUAUCCACGUGGACCAAAGGGAACAGAAGCUCACUUACACGGAACAAGGUACGCCCCCCUCAGCUCUAGAAGUGUGUGAUCACAAUCUGCUGAAUAUGCAUGAGGGGACCAUGGGCCCGUGAUUUGGGGCUGCCCAGGAUUCGCCUGAUUAAAAAUUCUUCGUGCUUGAAGACUUUAGAGCCCUCAGAGUUCCUCAAACAUAGGUAUAAAGUCCUAAAAAGGUCAUUUGGAGCGGAUAUUUGGAGAAUGUAGGAGGAGAGACCUCCCAAUUUGGGUCUCAUGAUCGGGCGUCUGCUGUAGACAGCCAAAUCCCAGAAGGGGUCCUCGACCGCUGGACUAGAAGACGAAGGGGGCGUCUCCCCUGCUUCCUGCGGCGUCCGUGGCGAACUGAGGUGGAGGCCGGCUGCGACCGCAAAGGCAACAGUGGCGGCGGUGCCAUGGCAGGGCUCGCAGGACCCCUGCUGCCUUGGUGAUCCUGAGCUGACAGCCAGAGAGCACAGCGGCUGAGCUCCUGGAGAGUGAGGGUUGAAGAACGCGGAGGGCAGCGCCCACGCCCGCGGGCUCCCAUUAGACAUGGUGUGUACACGCUGGAGGUGUUGCUCUCAGCUUAGUGCACCCUACGGGACCCUGGUAUAGCCUGCCAAACAGUACAGUGCUCCUUGCAGCUGGCAACCGGCGGCCAUAACCGAUACACCACGUUUGACUUCCUUGCUUCCUACGGAUUGACUUUUAAAAUGUUCCCAGUGUCACUACAUUAAGACGAAGCCAUUAAGCGCUUCCUUGGACAUUGCCUGUUUGCAUACAUUCAAGUGUUUCUCUGAAAAAUACUUAGAAGAGGAAUUGAUAUGUCAUAGGUAUACACAUCUUAAAUUCUACUAGAGACUGCUAAAAUGUUCUUCAAAGUGCCAUAGUAAUGGAAUUUCCUGCUAGCAAUGUGUGAGAGUGUCCGUUUACCCAGGCCAUCUCCAAAUUCUACAUUUUUAACCAGUCUGAUGAGUGAAAAAUAAUAUCUUGCUUUAGUUUGCAUUUUCUGAAUAUACCUGCAAGGCUGAAAUCUUCAUGUGCUUACUAUCUAUUUAUAUUUCCUCCUCUGGAUUGCUUGUCCAUACCCUUUACCUACUUUUUAAAGAUUUUUUGGUCUUUGUGCUAUUGAUUUUUAGGAGUUCUUUAUGCAUUUUGAAUACUAAUACCUUGUUAUGUAUGUUAUAAAUGUUUUCUUACAUUGAUUCUUGUAAUUUAAUUGUAUCUUUUAUCUUAGAGAAAUUUUACGUUUUAAUAGAUAAAAAACUGAUAAAUUUACAGUCUUAUUUAAGAAAGCCUUCCCUAUAUCAAGUUCAAAAACAUUUCUGUGUUUUCUUCUCUAAAAUUUAUAGUUUGCAUACAUGUAUAUAUUUAAGCCUUUAUUCUAUAUAUAAAAUAAACUCUAUACACAUGAAUCUUAGGAUCUAACUUUAAUCCCUCCCCACCUCUCUAAAGAUAAAUAAUUGUUCCAACACCACUUAUGGAAUAAUAUAUUAUUUAUCCACUGGUUUAAAAUUGCUACCUUUGCCUGACACUAAAUGCCAAUGCGGGUCUAUGUCAGAGCUCUUUCUGGUCCACUAAUCUAUUUGUCUACUCCCGAGCUUGAUAAUAUGCUCUGCUAACAGGCGAGACAAAUCCCACCCUCUUUGUUGUUUUUGCUAAAUUGCUUUGGUCAUCCUUGCAUGUUUGUCCCGCUGCAUGAAUUUUAAAAUCAGCCUGUCAAGUUGGAGAAAAAUUUCUGCUAGGGUUUUAAUUGGGAUUACAUUGAGUUUAUGGAUAACUUUGAAGAAAAUUGGCAUCUUUGUCAUACUGAGUCUCCCUACCAAUGCACAUUGCUAUAUUUCUCAGUUCCAGUCAGCGUUUUUAUCUCUCAGGGAUGUUUUGUGAUUUUCUGUGGUCAAAGUCUUGUGCAUUUCCUGAUAAAUGUGUUUCUAGGAUUAUUAUAGGUUUUGCUGUCAACUGAGAAUAGGUCUCCCUCUCCCCUUAUUUGUCUGGUCCUUGUUCCUUCAUAUUCCAUUGCAACCCAUUUGCUAAUAAUCCCUGUACCUGAUUUGCAGACAUGCACACAAAGUAAACGUUCUCUCUCUGAGCACAAACAUUCAGGCACAGCCAAACAGAGAGCCGGUGGAGUUGGCUGAAAACAAAUUAGAAUCUUUUCCAAUUAUACUUUAAUCAAACAAGUAAAGGGUGAAUGCAUUCACCUUAUUAAAAGUAGAACAAUAUGAAUAUAGCUAAAGUUUCUUUUGGCCACCUGAGAUCCUGGUUCCUUCCCCUUCCACAGAGGUGGCUGCUGGUUCAGUUUUAUGUAUCACCCUCCACACAGUACUGAUGGAGGCAUUUCAAAUAAAUAAUACCACAUCAUAGGUAUUGUACUAUAUCCUGCAUUUUUUCAUUCAGUCUUAUAUUUUUGAGAUCUACAAUGUUAGUGAUAUAGCAGCUCUUAUUCCCGCCUUAUAAUAACUGUUAGUACCCCUUCACAUGGCUGUACCCUGUGUUCCCUUUAUUAGCAUGCACAGACCCUGAGGGGUUUUCCCCCUAUUAUGAAGAAUGCUGCUGGGAACAGCCUCUUGAAAUGUUUCUAUGAGAUAGGUACUGAGAGUGAAAUCUGGCCUCUCUGUUGUCCACUGUUUUAGUUUUAUUAGACAUGGCCCAGGUUGGCUUCUGAAGUGGCUGUGCCAAUUAAAACUCCUUCCACAAGUAACUGUAAAUUCAUAUUUUUUCCAGAUCAUGGCCAGCUUUUAAGGUUUAUAGCUCAAAUGGGUAAAAAAAAAAAAAAAAAUGCUUUCUUCUUGGUUUAAUUUAUAUUUUCCUAAGUGACUGGUCAUUAUGUGUUGUCCUCACAGGUUUCUGGCCAUUUAUAUUUCCCCCUGUUGGGAUCAUCUGUGCAUAUCCUUUGUCCAUAUUUUUUCUGAGUUAUCUUCUUUUAUUGAUUUAUGGGAAUUCUUUAUAUUUCCUUAAUACUCAUUCCCUGUCCACUCUAUGCAUUGAACAUAAUUCUCUACUAUUCUGAACCUUGUCUUUUAACUGAACGGUAUCCUUUAUAAUAGAACUUUUAAUUUUUAUGUCAAAUGUAGAGUCUUGCCUUAAAAAGGCCUUCUGUUAACUAAGAUCACAACCAUUUUUUCUAUAUUUUUUUCUAAAGCUUACAUAGUUCUCUUUCUUGUAUUUAUAUUUGGCAUUAUUUUACAGUUUUCACAUUUAAGACUUUACUGUAUAUGAAGCUUAUUUUUAAUGUGAUAUUGGUGUUUAAUUUUCAUAAAUAUCAAAAUUGAUAACCAAUUUUUUUCAAUGUCACUUAUUGUAUAAUCCAUCAUUUCUGUGAUUUCAAAUUGCUACUUUUGCCUGACACUAAAUGCCAAUGCGGGUCUAUGUCAGAGCUCUUUCUGGUCCACUAAUCUAUUUGUCUACUCCCGAGCUUGAUAAUAUGCUCUGCUAACAGGCGAGACAAAUCCCACCCUCUUUGUUGUUUUUGCUAAAUUGCUUUGGUCAUCCUUGCAUGUUUGUCCCGCUGCAUGAAUUUUAAAAUCAGCCUGUCAAGUUGGAGAAAAAUUUCUGCUAGGGUUUUAAUUGGGAUUACAUUGAGUUUAUGGAUAACUUUGAAGAAAAUUGGCAUCUUUGUCAUACUGAGUCUCCCUACCAAUGCACAUUGCUAUAUUUCUCAGUUCCAGUCAGCGUUUUUAUCUCUCAGGGAUGUUUUGUGAUUUUCUGUGGUCAAAGUCUUGUGCAUUUCCUGAUAAAUGUGUUUCUAGGGUUAUUAUAGGUUUUGCUGUCAACUGAGAAUAGGUCUCCCUCUCCCCUUAUUUGUCUGGUCCUUGUUCCUUCAUAUUCCAUUGCAACCCAUUUGCUAAUAAUCCCUGUACCUGAUUUGCAGACAUGCACACAAAGUAAACGUUCUCUCUCUGAGCACAAACAUUCAGGCACAGCCAAACAGAGAGCCGGUGGAGUUGGCUGAAAACAAAUUAGAAUCUUUUCCAAUUAUACUUUAAUCAAACAAGUAAAGGGUGAAUGCAUUCUCCUUAUUAAAAGUAGAACAAUGUGAAUAUAGCUAAAGUUGCCUUUAGCCAUUCCCUGAAGUCUGAGUUUCCCACCCUGUCCACAGUUUUGUCUCCUUCCAUAGUAUUAAUGUAGGUAUUUUGAAUGAAUCAUCCCACUUUAUUGGGACUUUAGAGUGAGCUGCAUUUUUCACUUAUUUUUUUAUUUUAAGAUAUACUCAUAUUGAUACAAAUGGCUCUUGCCCAAUCCUUUAUUAGCUGCAUUGUAUUUAUUCCCAUGAAUGUACCUCAUUUCCUCUUCCCCAAGAUCUACAGACAUUAAGUUGCUUCCUUUUCUAUAAGCAGCACUGUAGGAAAACCGCCUGCACAUGCCUCCACUGUUUUUCUAGGCUAGUGAUUCAGAAAUGGAAUUUGGGGUCUCAUGCUUUCCACAUUUUUAGUUUUAACAAAUAUUACUAAAGUAUCCUCCUUAAUUUAUGUACCAUUUAAAUUUCCAGCCAGAGGGUAUGAGAAGGCUCUAAUCUCCAUACCAUAAGCAGUUGUUUUAAAUAUUUGCCAAUCUGAUAGAUGAAAAAUUGAAUCAUUUAAAAAAUGUAUAAUACCUGUUUGCUAGUGAGAUUUUAAUAUGUGUAUGACUUUUGUAUUUUCUCUUUCUUAAUUAUCUGUUGUUGUUUUUUUUUAUUUAACUCUGUAGGAUCUUUUGUUAGACAAGUUAUCAAUUUUGACAUAAUCAAAUGUAGCAAUCUUUUCCUCCAUUCCCUUUAUUUAUAUAUCCUAUUGUAGGUCUUUUUUACUCCUAAGGCUUAAAUAUAUUCUGUAUUCUUUUCUGAUAAUUUUGUUUUUAUUUAGGUCUUUAAUGCAUCUGCAAUAUAUUUUAUGAUUGAAAUAAGAUAUGAUCUAACCUUUCUCCAAACAUAGAGCUGAUAAUUGCAGCACAGUAGAUUGACUAGUACGUUCUUUCUCCAUUGAGCUGAAGUGCUAGGGAGGUCUGAGGCCCCUGUUCUGUUUCAUCGGUUUAUAUAUUCCUGUCUGUACCAGAAUAUUUUAUUUGCUAUAACUUUAUACCAUUUUGGUAUCAUUAAAUAAAAUGCUCCAUUUCAUUGUGCUUCCUUUCCAAUGAUCUAAUCUAACUAUUACUGCACAUUAAGUCCUCCACAUGAAUUUUAAAACUUGCCUGUCAAGUUCUGUGAAUUUAAAGAUCAAUUUGGGGAAAAUUGAAUCAAUACAAUACUGAGCCUUUCAACUUAUGAAUACCGUGGAGCCCUACAUUUAUUCUGAUCAUCUAGUGUGUCUUUCAGCCACAUAUUACAGUUUUCUCCAUAAAGAAGCUAUCAGUUUCCUAAUGGGUUUGUUCCUCUAGUUUGUAUUGUGAUUGUGAAGGAGUUCUCUUCUCACCCCCUUUCUUGUUUUGCUUUUGCUUGUUACAUUUUUCUAAAUCUACUUACUAAUUACUGUAUUUCAUUCAUAUACACACACAAAGUAAAUGUUCUUUCUCCCUGGGCACAAACAUGCCAGCACUGCCAGACACACAGAGCUGGCAUAAUUGGCUGAAAAUGAAUGGGAAUUUUUUCAAAUUAAAGUUUAAUGAUACCAGUGAAACAUGAAUAUAUUCUCCUUUUUAAAAACUAGAACAUUGCAGAUGAAGCUCAAGUCCCUUUUGGCCACCCACUGCCGCCCCAUUUCCUUCUUUCUCCCGAGAGGUAGCCACUGUAAUGGGCUCAGUGUGCACUUUUCUAAACUUUCUAAAAACUUGUAAAUAUAUGGAUAGGUACCCACAGGAAAUAGAUGGAAUAGUUGUCUCAAAUAAUGAUAAUUUUGUCUUUUCCUUUCCAGUUUUCAUUUAUAUUCAAUUUUUGUAUUUGCCUGGAUUUGAUUAUGGUUUCAGCAUAGAAUGUCAGUAUUAUCACCCAUUACAACAUGAAAGUAAAGAUACAGAAGUUGGGAGAUACCAAUGUAGGGAGUGGGUAGGAGGGCUGAUGAGAAUGGUAGUGGGGAGGCAAGAGCCUCUGUGAACACCAGUGGAACAGGAGUGAAGAGACAAGAUGUCUUAAAAUUAAACAGAUAAAUAGUUGAGGUACUUUAAAACUGUGUUGGGAGAAGCAGGAAUGGAGGGACGUAGUUUCCAAGUGACCUAAAGCCUAUCUGCCAUGUGGGAGGGACAUCAGUGGAUCUUAGGAACUAGAUAGAGGGUAUAGCAGAUGCUGUUCAGAGAACUCUUGUGACCCAAUUUUGACUAGGAUCUCAUAAAGGGACAUCUUCAGGCAGCACUUUCCUCCUGAUUAAAGAAAUAACCUGGGAGCUUUCUUGGCCCUGCCUCUUCCUUUCU